rnacentral:rRNA from 1 species
AGCCAUGCAUGUCUAAGUAUAAGCAAUUAUACAGCGAAACUGCGAAUGGCUCAUUAAAUCAGUUAUCGUUUAUUUGAUAGUACCUUACUACAUGGAUAACCGUGGUAAUUCUAGAGCUAAUACAUGCUGAAAACCCCGACUUCGGAAGGGGUGUAUUUAUUAGAUUAAAAACCAAUGCCCUCCGGGGCUCACUGGUGAUUCAUGAUAACUUCUCGAAUCGCACGGCCUUGCGCCGGCGAUGGUUCAUUCAAAUUUCUGCCCUAUCAACUUUCGACGGCUGGGUCUUGGCCAGCCGUGGUGACAACGGGUAACGGAGGGUUAGGGCUCGACCCCGGAGAAAACGCCUGAGAAACGGCGUUUACAUCCAAGGAAGGCAGCAGGCGCGCAAAUUACCCAAUGCCGACACGGCGAGGUAGUGACGAGAAAUACUGAUACAGGGCUCUUUUGGGUCUUGUAAUUGGAAUGAGUACAAUUUAAAUCUCUUAACGAGGAACAAUUGGAGGGCAAGUCUGGUGCCAGCAGCCGCGGUAAUUCCAGCUCCAAUAGCGUAUAUUAAAGUUGUUGCAGUUAAAAAG